UCGAAAGACAUUCAUUCAAGAAAUUCUAACGUGAUUAUCGUAAAUAGCUGGAAUUGUAGAUAUUUACAAUGACAUAGAUCAUUUUUCUUCGACGUAAUUACGGCCUAAUGUCGAGACAAGAAUAAUAUGACGCUGAUCUGUGUUUUGACAAGAAUAUGAAUGAUCUUAAGAAAAGGCUUCGCUGAAUCAAUUGGAAGACAGCGUCUUCAAUUGUCCUACUAAAUUCUUUACGGAUGACAUCUGGGUCUGGGGAGAUCAUGCAAAAAAAUAAGACAUCAUUUAUAACUUUCAACCUUCCGCUCACAGGACAAAUUCUCGAAGACGCUACGAAAAGAUGCUGAGCUUGAUCAUAAUUCUUCAGGCUCCCAAUUCAAGAAUACAAUUACUUAGCGUGGGUGCUUCUGCUCAGUCUUCGUUUCCUAUCUCCACAUACGAAUCACUCGCUUGUUACUAAUUCGAAUAAUUUACUGCUGUAAGGAGUCGUACCGCCAACUAAAUCUGAAUAACAAUUUGGCUGCUAGAAGUCAAAAAGUAGGCGCUGCAAUGAUUAUGUGGUAUGAUCAGAUUGUGUCGCAACAUUCAGCGGGGUUUUGACUCAAUGGGACCGCUGCUAAUAAAGUGUUUAACUAGCGAAUUUUGGAACACACCCGUUGACAAAAGUAUAAGGAGUCUCUUUCCGUGAGUUCCCCUCUUCCUCUCACUGCACUUCAACUAUGCCUUAUAGCAACCAAGAAGCUAGAAAAUGCCAACUAUUAAAAAGAUAACCUCUUUGGAAUCAAAUAAAACGGAGAUUAUCUUGGGAUCUAUUUCACAAAUUUACGGCUAAUUGGAAUGAACAGCGCCAAGUAGCACUGGACAAACUGCAGAGAGUAUUAGAACUUGCUUUAUUCCGUAUAUCGUACUUUAGGUCGUCAGUUUUACCACUUCGGUACGCAAAUGAAAAUAAAAAGCUCAUUCACAACUUAGACACAAUUUCGCCGUUUACAAGUAGCUGAAAAGUCCAUCUAUCGAAUUAUGAAUGAUACUAUUUUAAAUAUCGUCGUUACUGCACUCGUUUUCCACGUUCUUUUUAUCCACACAUCCGAUGUUUUAUUUACAGUUGAGCAUCUCAGGGCCAGCGACAAAUAUAAACAUAUUAUACUCAAAAUGAAGCUCGUUGAAAAGAGAAUAUUUCUUAACCUCUUUUACAGUGCUUUCAACACCUUUUCACCUGUGUGCCAUGUCAGAUUAAGGAUGCUCAACUUUUCGAAUUAUUAUUACAAAUUUCAAAGAAAUUACUAGUCCUUUUUGUCCCCUAAUGUAUCCCUCAUUUCAUACCGUCGUUUUGGGGUUCCAACUACGUAUAGCUUUCAAGUGUGGUUUUACGGUAAGAACAACCCCCCAUCGGUUGGUGCGGAAUACUUUCCUAUUCUCAUCGAGAGCCGAGCCAUACACCUAAGGUGGACAGAAAGCUAAAAUUCCAAAACAGAAAAAUCUAACAUCUUUGCUCCCUUACAAGUAGGAACGCUGGCGUAUCAACCCGUCUCCAGAUUUGCCCAGCAUUUCUGUAGAACACCCAAUGCGAAUGAAGACUAAUGAAUAUUGUAAAGACAAAAAAUAGGAAAAGUUUAAUUAGUGAUGGUUCUCACCACCCCAAAACGGUCACUUGCAUGCAUUGAGGACAUGCACCUGCAGUACUUGUUUUUCUCGAAUGUUUUUACCAUCUCUUUUUUCCUUAUCUGAGCUACUGACGCAGACGGACAUUGUUUCAUAUUUCGAAAGCUGUGCGGGAAAACGGAUCCUAACACGAAUGUGAAUGCGCUAAUCAAUAUUUCCACCACAUGAAACCUGCUACUUUUUCAGUCCUCUUCGUAUGCAUUUCCCAAAAUUCAUUCGUAGCCUUGUCAACUUAGACUCAGUUCCACGGCGUGCAGGACGGGGUAUUAUGAAUAAAAGGAUCCACGGGUGAGAUUUGUUCUGUGUUUUAGGUAUGGAGUUUUGUACCACAAAACUUUAGGAAUACCGGAUUUUGUGCCUACGCCAGCCCCAGAGUAUGUUCUCACAGCUGUAAUUCCUAGUGAUCUUUUCCUGGCUCCAAUAGGAACGCCGGUAGGCAAAUUAAACUUUCGCGGCAGGAAAAAAAAGGCUUUUUCUUUUUUGCCUUUCAGUUUCUCGGAAUGUGGCAUUACAUAAGCAUAAUCCUUUUUGGGUGUGCCUGGAAAGUUCAAAUUAAGGUUUUUUUCUUCUGUUUUCUUGGCAAGAAAAUGUCGCCCAAAGAGUUUCGGCCGUUAUUUUCCUAUCGAAGUGGGUCCUUUUUGUCUUUAGUCCUUCUCUGGGGCUAGCGAUCACUGCAAAAUUAGGCUUCACUGGUACGAGUUAACUUUUUUUCUUUUUUUUUGUCAUCCUUUUCUUUGGGGCUAAGAACGGACUUCCCUUUUCUUUUUCUUUGUUGAGUUAACUUUUUUUCUUUUUUUUAGAACGGACUUCCCUUUUCUUUUUCUUUGUUGCAGCAGUGGCUUCAAAGAACUGCUGAUUGCUCAAGGCAAUCAGUCCGAGCGUUUAGAAGGUGAUUGUAGGCAGAAAUUAACUUUGCGGUAAAAGAAUGACAUUCUUUCUUAAAAGAAAAAUUAGCUUUUUUUUGUCAGGCAUUGCACAAACUUUUUUAUUUCUGCCUAUACUCUUAAACAGAUCAGUCAUUCAUGUUGUCUUUUUAACGGUCGUACUGGGACAUCACAUGCCUUGGGAUUCCGUAAUUAGGUGCAACAAUACGGGCACAACUCAUUCUGCGCUAUCUUCACGGACAGAACUUCUAUUGCCUAUCGGUGGUGUGAUUAACAAUUGGAAGCGCAGAGCUUGGAAUGGAUUUCCAAUUCAAUGGAUUUGGAGGUAUUCGUUUGUUUACUAAUAUUUACUUUGAGGACAUUGCCCAACCCUAAAAGUGCCUGUUCCAGAAUAGAAUAACAUUAUGAUACGUUUUCUUGACCGCUGAGCAAUUUAAAGCAAUUAUUAGGGUACGAUUGUUUCUAGAGAAAUGUGGGUCAUCUUUUUAGGUCCGUUCUCUUCUGAUGAGGUAACCUUUACAAAAAUGUCAUAGAGUUACCAAUUGGGAUUCAAGGCAUCAUCGCAAUAUACUUCGUUCUCUUACGGAGAAAUUAAGCACUUUCUACUUUGAAUUAACUGUUAGACUUGUCUUAUCUGAGGAAUGUCCGUGUUCAAAUUAAAUAAAAAUUUAGGGCAGUUUUAUUUACCUUAACAAAUAUGUUCAAGCAUGUACGU
rnacentral:sRNA from 1 species